AGGCAAAUGGCUGCAACAGGCAUGCAAAAGGACAAGGUGAACCUCACAGGCAGUGCCAAGAAAAUCCACUCAAAACUCAGCUCCAUAUGGGGAAGCACAGUUCCAGCUGUUUGGCCUUCAGAGUAAGCUGGCUCUGAAGCUGCUGCUACCCUGGCUUUAAUUCUAGGCAAGCACAAACCCAUCAGAGCUGGCAAAUAGGGGGAAAGCAGCAGGGGUAGCAGCACCACGCUGGUACAAGGAAUCUUGUGAUGCUAUUGCUCCCCAUGAUUAUGCUAUUAACAGCCAAGCAGGGUGGAGUUUAAUGAGCAAAGGUAGAUGAGAAAAGGAAAACAACUGAGACAAAUGAUGUUUAAAUGUGAUGGCUCAUUAAACAAAAGCUCUCUGCUAUGUUUCUUUCCUUGGUAGCAACAAAAGGGACAAUGGCCAUAAGUAAAAGGCAACCCACUGACAACAGGAAGGAUUUCUAGAAACUAACACACUUAAUUCAGCAGCUCCAGCACCAAUGAGCAGAGAUAUUUUGCAUCAAGUAACUCAAGUGAAGGCUUUUGCAAUGUUUUUUGCAUGAGACAGAGAGCUCUUUUCAGCCCAAAUCCUAGGAGCUUCUCACUGUUUGAAUAUCAAGGUCUGGUCCUGCUUUCUUGCACAUCCAAACUCCUGCUGUCUCCAGCAGAAGUUUUGGAAUGCAGAAGUCUGUGUAGCACAAGAUGCAGGUCUCAUACUAAUGUGUCCACCAUCCUGUCUGGCUUGCGUUACCGAUGCUUGCUUGUGUGACUUUGAUCUUGACCAGAUCGUGUAGUUCUUACUGAACUGUAGGCUUAACAGGCUUUGCGGCAUUAUCCUAAUCAAUCGCCUUCAAAAGGCAGGAGCAGCUACAUUUGUGUUCUUCCUGCCAACUGUAUAACCUGUGCUCUGAGCAUCCAAGCAGUAGAGGCCCUGCACCCCUCAAAUUGAGCAACUAUUCCAGUGUUUCAUUGUCAUUAUCCACCUUAUCAGUAUAUUGUCCUAACCAGCCUGAAUAUGGAGGACAGAUUAUUUCUUCCCUCUUUGCUGAAGCCUUAGUAUUGAUUUUCUAAUACACUGCCUCUCAGCUUUCUAAAAACAUGAAAGAAAGGAUCUCCAUAAUGUUCGUCUGUCUUACAAGGCAAAUGGCUACUCUGCAGUUGUAUAAAUCAUGAGGCUGGGUGUGAUCUUCUGCCUGAAAAAAGAUUUAAUCUAUCAUAUUGAAGUUUCUGUUGUGUUAUUUAUGAGAAAGGUAAAGGCAAUAGUUUUCAGACAUAAAAUACCUGAUCCCUCAGAAUCUUCCAGUGAGCUCCUGAGCUGAGAAGGUGGCCCUGCAAUCCUGCAAGACAGGGCCCUAGACUUCUUUACCAAUUCAGAAUUCGUCAGGAAUGAGAAGGACUGAGUACAUGAUUAUUUCCAAUGCUAGGAUAUCUUGGAUGUCAACAGAAUGAUAUCUUUACUGCUCUCUUCUUGUUUUCUGCAUGGGCAACUUAGCCUUAUCAGAAAUUGCAUUGUCUAAGACUGGAAAAUUUAGCUACUUAGAUGCUGUAGAAAAUAUGCUGCUAGCACUCUCGAUAAGAAAAAAAAAUCUUAGGAACAGAUGCAGAGAUGUCAGAUUUAAAUUUCCUAUUAUUUGGCCUUUUUGAAGAUCAGGCAUGAAGGAACUAACACAGAUUGCAGGGUUCCUGCCGAAAUGGUUGUGCACAACAGCAGUGGUACAGGCCCUUUUGUCGGCUGUGUUCUGCACAUUGACUGUGCUGACAUCAUAAACCACAGUGAAACAAGUAACUUUGUUCUAACUGCUGCAACAGGAGGUCCUCUGUCUCCCAAACAUCAUCUGAUCCAAGAGCAACUGAACUGACUUGAAAGCAGCUUUCAUCAACACCCUCUUUGUUCCAAGUGAGGAGCUCGCACCACUGGAACUGCCUGUUCACAAAGCUCAUGGGAAGACAGCCAGCAAAAUACAGCAUCCAUAUGGAAAAUGCUUAUUGGUUAAGAGACGACAACUCUGUGGACAGGAGAAACGCUACUGAGACAAUUUAUCUACAGUGGGGAGUUUAAGCAUCCAGUUCUCACUUCUGUUCUACUGUAUCUCCUGUUCAGUGGAUGUCAAAAUGUUGCAGUUGAGCAACAUCUCAUUUUAUGCAUGCAAAUCUGUAGUCUGAUUGAUUGCCCUCGGACUGAUUUUUGCUCAAAAUUGCUGAAGCCCCAUUACCUAAAUGUUAUGAGCCAGAGAGGUUAAAGACUGAUUAUGAUGUCAUAAAGCAACCUGAAUCUGCAAAAUAAUAACUUAGGUAUUUGAUAGGCCAUGCAGUUGUGUUUGCAAUUGACACUUUGAAGUCAGAUACCUUAAUAUUAGUGACAGCAACCUACAAGAAAAAUAAGACACAAUGCCUGUGUUUCUGCAGGUACCUCUACACUGAGCACCACCAAGACCUGCUAAGCUGAGAGGACGAUCCAAGUCUCACCUUCUAGUUGGGAAGGGUGCCCUGGGGAGAUGGCUGGGUACCGUGCCACUGUUGGGCUAUUGCAGCUAUCAGGAGACUUAACUUGGAUCAUCAUAAGCUGUUUCCAAUCCUACAGAAUGAGAAGGCAGACGGCUUUCAACUAAAUGCAUGCAACACCAGCACAAUUUUAUGGGUGGGCAGGCUCCAAGCAACGUGACUGAAGGCAUGAGGAUAUUCACAGCUAUUAAAGUCAAAAUAAAUACAGUGCAGAUGGCCUAAUAAAUUCAAACAUUGAAUGCUAUAGCAAGAACUUUGUCCAUAAGUAAAGAAAGACAAAGUUAAUCCAAAGAAAAAAUAAGUAUAUUCACUCUGCAUUAUUCACCCAACCACAACUCCUCCUCAGGGAGACCAAGCUGGUAAUGGCUGGAGCGGGGGAGGGCAAAGCAAAAGGCGCAAUGAAAAUGGCAACAAAACCCAA